UUAUUGAGAAAGAUAAUAUUAUAUGAAACUGGGACUAAGAAUAUGGUCGCCUAGGCAGUUGGGUGUGGUAGCUCAUGCCUGUAAUCCCAGCACUUUGGAAGGCCAAGGCAGACAGAUCACUGUGGCCAAGGAGUUCAAGAUCAGCCUGGGCAGCAUAUUGAGACCCUGUCUCUAUCAUAAAUACAUAUAUAUAAAUAAAAGAAUAUGAUCACCUAACAUGAGACCACUGCAACUUUUAAGUAGUAUAUAAACUCUAAGAUGGUUUAUUUUACUGGAUGGGGGCAAUGGCUUUACCAUGAGUUAACAUUUUUUUUAACAGAGGAAGACCCUCAUGAAUGGCUUGGUGCCCUUCCCAUGAGAUCUGGUUGUUUAAAAGAAUACAGCACUUCCUCCCCUUUUUUUCUCUUGCUAUGUGAUGCAAUGGCUUCCCCUUUGCCUUCUGCCAUGAUUGUAAGCUCCCUGAGGCCCUCAACAGGAACAGAGGCCAGUGCCAUGCUUCCUGUACAGCCUGUAGAACCAU
rnacentral:lncRNA from 1 species